AUUGAACGCUGGCGGCAUGCCUUACACAUGCAAGUCGAACGGUAACCGGUCUUCGGAUGCUGACGAGUGGCGAACGGGUGAGUAAUACAUCGGAACGUGCCUAGUAGUGGGGGAUAACUACUCGAAAGAGUGGCUAAUACCGCAUGAGAUCUACGGAUGAAAGCAGGGGAUCGCAAGACCUUGUGCUACCAGAGCGGCCGAUGGCAGAUUAGGUAGUUGGUGGGAUAAAAGCUUACCAAGCCGACGAUCUGUAGCUGGUCUGAGAGGACGAUCAGCCACACUGGGACUGAGACACGGCCCAGACUCCUACGGGAGGCAGCAGUGGGGAAUUUUGGACAAUGGGCGCAAGCCUGAUCCAGCAAUGCCGCGUGCAGGAUGAAGGCCUUCGGGUUGUAAACUGCUUUUGUACGGAACGAAAAGCCCUGGGUUAAUACCCUGGGGUCAUGACGGUACCGUAAGAAUAAGCACCGGCUAACUACGUGCCAGCCGCCGCCGUAAAAC
rnacentral:rRNA from 1 species